rnacentral:misc_RNA from 1 species
GAUGAAGAACGCAGUGAAAUGCGAUAAGUAAUGUGAAUUGCAGAAUUCAGUGAAUCAUCGAGUCUUUGAACGCACAUUGCGCCCCCUGGUAUUCCGGGGGGCAUGCCUGUCCGAGCGUCAUUGCUGCCCUCAAGCCCGGCUCGUGUGUUGGGUCUCGUCCCCCUUCCCGGGGGGACGGGCCCGAAAGGCAGCGGCGGCACCGCGUCCGGUCCUCGAGCGUAUGGGGCUUUGUCACCCGCUCUGUAGGCCCGGCCGGCGCUUGCCGAUCAACCAAAACUUUUUUCCAGGUUGACCUCGGAUCAGGUAGGGAUACCCGCUGAACUUAAGCAUAUCAAUAAGCGGAGGA